rnacentral:rRNA from 1 species
CUUUACUGUAGCUUUGUAUUGGACUUUGAACAGAUCUGUGUAGGAUAGGUGGGAGGCUUUGAAGUGUGGUCGCUAGAUCGCAUGGAGCCAACGUUGAAAUACCACCCUGGUGUGUUUGAGGUUCUAACCUAGGUCCAUUAUCUGGAUCGGGGACAGUGCAUGGUAGGCAGUUUGACUGGGGCGGUCUCCUCCCAAAGUGUAACGGAGGAGUUCGAAGGUACGCUAGUUACGGUCGGACAUCGUGAUAAUAGUGCAAUGGCAUAAGCGUGCUUAACUGCGAGACUGACAAGUCGAGCAGAUGCGAAAGCAGGACAUAGUGAUCCGGUGGUUCUGUAUGGAAGGGCCAUCGCUCAACGGAUAAAAGGUA